UGAUGGUUUGAAAGCAAAAGUAAGAAUGUAUUUUGGAUAAUGAAUAGAUCAUACCACUUCUGAGUUUCCCAAUCAUCAGCUAUUUAAAGCAAUAUGGUCAGAAACUAACUUCCCCACUAGCCUUCUAUAGAGCCCUUUGAAGAUCACUCAAACCAAUCUAUCUAUCUAUCUGGUAUAGGCAUGGAGCUUUGUUGGCAAAAAUCCAUCCAUGGCUCUUAAAAGAAGCAUGGAGGAUUGUGUGAGAGGGUUCUCACCCUUCACACUCCACCUCCUAAAGUUUGCUUAUGCUUUAGCUAUUGGCUUCUCUAAUCAAUAACCACAAAAGGGUAUGACACAUGGAGGAACAUAGUUCUCUCUAUGAGUGGCAUGAAGCAGAGAAGCAUUCUCCAUGAGCAGAGAAACUUUGGCUACAGCCAAGCAAACCGGCAAGUCACAAAAAGGCAAUGGACUACUCUUUCUCAUUAAGGGGUCCUCAUGACUAUAUGACUAAAAUCCGGCUUUCUCUUCAGUUUCUUCAGAUGAGUAGGUAGGUAAUUAUGUCCUUAUAUAUCCCUCUCCCUUACCUUGAUUUUUCUCAUGUGUGUUAGUGUGUAUGCUUGCUGUGUUUCGAGACCUUAUAUGCAAUAAAAGAAUUAUGGUAGUGUUUUAGUUCCUUAAAGGGUAGGAUUAUGUUCUGUAGAAGUUGAUUGGUUAGAAAAGCUGCAAAGCCCUCCUAGAAAAGUUGUUAAAGUCAACAAUGAUCAUGCCCCUUUUUCCUUUAGUUUCUGAUUUAACUGGCACUGAAAGUAUUCCGGGAAACUAUAGGGAUGAAUAGUUUAUCCUCUUCAUGUAAAAGAGAACAUUCACAAAAAUGAAAAAUUUAUUUGUUAAAA